rnacentral:lncRNA from 1 species
AUUGUCUCAAUGGUUCUAUGAGUCAAUGAUAACAGCAGUCACAGUACUAAACCUUUUAUGUUCGACCAAAAUUUGAAUCAUGCAGUUAUAAGGAAUCAAGUAUCAAGCAUGUUCUGACAUGAGAAGCUAGAAAUAGCAACAAUUGAAAGUUAAAUGAUGGUAGGCAAGCUAACAACUGCUCCCAAAAAGAAAUUACUGCCAAAUGUCCACUUAUUUAAGUUGAAAAAUACAAGAUUGAACCAAUAGUUCACGGUUUGUUCAGAUCCAUGAUGCUUAAAGAGAAGGAUUCCAGCUUACCAAUAGUCGCAGAAGGAGUUACUGGAAAGUCAGAGAGCACGCCAUCAACAGAGAAGUCAACAUUGUCAACAAAAUUGAGAUACUCAGUUACAGGAUCAUAACUGUAAUUGUAACUCAGUGGAACGUCAUUAUAAAAAUCUGAUACAAAAACCUCUAGCCCUGCCUUGUGUGCAUCCGAGACGAUAAAAGUAUGAGGUUGUAAGUAAUUAUUAGCAUCCAAAGGCCAUAUGUAUGACUUAGGGAUAAGAAUUCCAGAUGCAAAUGUCUUGAUGAAAGUAAAGUUGUUUGAGAGAGAACCGUAUGUCUCAUUUGUUGAUGGCUCGAUGACAUUUCGUUCCAGAAACCGGAAGACCAGUUUUGUUAUAUUUAGGUUAACUCUCUUAACAACACUUCUCAAGAAACCCACUUCUGGUGAUGAGAGAUGAUUAAUGACAACCCUUCUGUAUAGAGACAGUACAUAGUUUCUCAUACUCAAAUUGUGCUGUGUGAAGAACGCAUCAUGCUGCAAAAGUAUCAGAACAAAAAGAUUUGGUUGAAAUAAUAGAUGGUAGUGCACGUUCCACUGAAUUAAAGGGAAGGGAAGAACAGCAACAGCAGUAAAGAAGGCUUCAUGUUAAUAAGUUCAUAGAAGGUACUGGUGUAAGAUAAAACAGAAAUUAUAUUGCUCCUCUACCUGAAUAUUCAACCAUAAGCCUGGUGGUUUUAAGUUAGCCACAUCCUCAACAGUUUGUAUGGGAUAAAUGUUAUCAAACUUUUCACUCCGAGAAUAGAUUCCCUGAGUCACUGUCAAGGAAAAACAAUGUCAGAAUCAGAAGUUCAAGGCAGGAAUUGAGAAGUUAAGAUCCACACAGACUGGUAUGCUAAGAAAAUUUUCAGAGUCAAUCUCAUGAAGAUCAAAUUAGAUAAAAUCUCCUUCGGAGAUUAAUGAGUCGGUCCCUAUCAGUAAAAUCUGAAGAUCAACAAUGGCGUAUCCAAAUCCAAAAACAAAACAACCCCCCAUUGGUUUUUUCUUCAAAUAUUUGAUUGAAGUAUGCUAUCUGCAAUAAAACUCUCAGUGUCUCUAAAUGACCUGAUGUUAUUAACUGUCUUUCAUGCUUGACCAUUACUAACUAUCACUUAUACAUCAAGCAAACUUCACAAACAGAAGGACUAUAACAACAACAAUAAAUAAUAAGAAUGGAGAAUAAACAGCUUGUACUUUUGUGUUAUUCUUAUGCAACUAAAAGGGGUAAGGCCUUGAGUUGGACUCCCGCCUUUGUCAAUUCAUUGCUAAUUUCAACAAAAAAUGAAAAGAAGGAAAUGGCAGCUGAUUCACUUGAUUCAUGCAAAUUUUUAGCAAUCAACAAUAAGAAAAUCUGGAUAUUUCAAAUGAUCACUUCAUGUAAUAAUAAUACUUUACAAGAAGUAUAGAAAUAAACAGGCUUCCAAAAAAUGACCAAUAACCAUAUGAAGCAAUUUGUUGAAGUCUUAGCCAAACUCACAGAAUACAAGUGACAAUUCAUUGAGAGUGAAAUCCACUGUGAACCAUCCUUGGGUAGGAAUUCCAUUAACUAGGUACAACUUAUCCUUAUUUUGCAUAACCUGUGCAAUGCUAGUAGAAUUGUCAAGCCUGAGAUCAGGGGCACAAAUCCCCACAGCAUCUUUAGUUAACUGCACAUCACACCAUAGGACAACAUCCGGCAAACUUGUAAGCGUUGCAAACCGGAAAGCAACUGAGCUAGAAUCAGGAAAUAAUCCUGAAAACCCGCCACGUGCUAUGACUAAAGGGCGAUUUCCUGUAGAAUGAAAUUAAUUAGUGAGCUUUUUUCAUUAUAAGGUCGAUUGACUCUACUCAAAUGUGUUAUAGGGUCAUAUUUUUAUCCAUGCAAAUUUACUGCAACACAGAUUGCAAGUUCACUAACCCAAAAUUGUUAUUGAAACACAAAUUACAUCAAAUUAUUUUGUGAGCAUACAAGAAUUAGUUAAGUUGCAAGUUCAACAUUUUUUGGGUAUUCAUAAUAGAAAUAUUUUGGAAAGCACCAAGAAUCUUAUGAGUAGCCAUUUUUCUUGAAAGAAUUUUAUUGACCAACAAAAUUAUUAUUUUUUGGUCAAUUUUCUCAACAAACUCAGAUUUAUAGAAACCUCCGGUUUUGGAAAGCCAGGUUCAAGCAAAUUAACUAUCACAUAAAACAAUUGACUUAUCAGAACUUAGAGUGUGGGGAAAUGUAAAAAUAAAAAUGAAAAACCACCCACAACACCAAUAUCCAAAAGCCUGUAAUUCAUGAAAAAGAAAUGCAUGCACUUUUUUUUGUGUGUGUAUAAUGAACUGAACUGGUAGGAAUUUCAUAUAAAUUGAAGGUUUUCCAUAAAUGACAUGAUGUGAUUUCUCCAAGAAAAGAAAGAAAUUCAAGAAUUCAUUUUGCAUAAGCCCAUGAUGAAAUCAAAAUCAGCUUUCGAAAAAGAAAUCAAUUUUAAUCUUUGAAUUUAAAGUAAUCUUCAAGGCCCAAUACAAACAAGUGAUCUUAUUCUAGAAAUAGUAACCAUGUUGUUCCUUGCUAUUUUCUUAACUAAAGCUUAUUUAAAACGGUGUUUAACGAUCUAGGAUGCCAUAAAUAAAAUUAUCACAAAAUUAUCACAAAUUCUACUAAUUACUCAUUUAUCAUAAACCAAAAGUAAAAAAAAAAGAGUAAAAUAUUGCAUCUCUUGUAUAUUUUCAAUAUUUAUUUAAGGCCAAAUCUUCAAAGACGGAAAACAAACUUCCCUACAAAUGCAACUAGCUACUAAGCUGUAAUUCUAAAAUACAAAAUCGAGCAUCAAAUGCAUUUUCCUAGCAAACGAACACAAAAUUUAGAGGGAGAGAGAAAUCUGAGUGCGUGGUAGUGAGAGAAAAGCAAAGACAGACCGGUGAGUGUUUUCCAGGUACUAGCAGAUCCCUGAGCAGAGACAACAACCACCAAUGACUGAAGUAGUAGCACAGCUAGUAGAGGAGUGAAGAACGAGCGUAAGUUACACAUUGCCGGAAAAUCUAGCCGGCAACUUGUUGGAGGAGCUUAAGCAAAACUCCGGCCAAUAUAUAUCUAGACAGAGACACCGACCAUUAAUCUUACUAAAACAAAUAUAUCACAUAAUAUGUGGUAAGUUAACAAUUGAGUUGGACUAGAGAUCCCUAUCUGCCCUCUCAGUGAUGGAAUCGAGAUGGCUCGACCACUGAGUAAAAGGUGACAAGUGCUGGUUGGAAGACAGCUAGACUGGCGUCCACACCAUGAGCACAAACAAUCUGGCAACAGUCCACUUGUCAUGAUAUGAUUGGAGGGCGCAUUGAGGAAAGCAAAACGCGUAGAAUGGUUCUCCUAUUUUAGGUGAAGGUGACUUGUCAGCACGCAAAGAGAAAACAAUAAAACAUCCACGAACGACAAUAUUGGGAAAAGAUGAUGGUGACCAAUUGGCAACAAUAGUUUACAUUUAGGAGUCAAUAAAUAGACUUAUCAUUUUGACAUGACUAUUUUGAUAAUGACCCAUUGUUUUUUUAAUAAUAAUUAUAUCUACAAUUUUUAAAUAUAUAUUUAUUUAUUAAUUCUUUGCUUUAUAUAUAUUGUGGUUUUCUUGGGUUUUUAAUAGAAAAUGUAUAUCAAAAAAAAAAAAAACUAAGCCUAGAGAUCUUUUCAUUAUACACGCAUACAUUGUGCAUCCUUUUACAAAUUAUUAUUAAUUAAAUCUCUAAUUUGUUUUUUGUUUUUUUUACUGAUUUUUUUUAGCAAGGUUGAUAAUCAAUUGUUUCAAAAUUGUUAACAUAGGCAAAAUUAAAGGAUAAAAGACUAAAGGAAAAAUAGGUGUUGUUUCUAUUGAUCUUUAGGUAAUACAUUUAUGAUUUUAUAUAUGUUUUGAGGAUAAUAAUAAUAUCAAAAUUGUACUAAUAAUAUAAUUGGUUGAGAAUAAAUUUUAAACUUGUUUUAUAUGAAGAAUACAUCAACAAGCAUGGAUCAUGUCCAAGAAGGAAGCAAAACGAAGUAUUUAUUUUAGUGCUCAUGUGUAAAUUUUUAUAUACUACUUAAAAGCACUAAUUAAAAUGAAUUCACACAUUUCACUUCUCAUAUAUUUUAAAAUGAUUGAUAAAACGGUUCUAAAAAUUCAUCAGGUUUAAAACUAUCAAAACUAGAAUUAUGCAUGAACCAGUUGAUCAUUUGAUGAUACCAAAUGAACCGGUCAACUACUUGCUCAUCAGGGAUGAACACCUAGAAAUUUAUAGAAACUGAUCGAUUGCUUCAGCCGUCAGUGGGUUCUAGCGACUAGUUUCUUUUGAAAACUUAUAAAUAACUUUAUUCUUGCAAAAAUGUAAGAGAAUUCCGAACAUACAAUAUAUAAAGACUAUUUCAAAAGCAAAACUAGCUAGAAAAUCAUCAAUCCUAACAUACUAUAAUGUUAUGCUAAAUUGAACCUUCAUAUUCUAGCACAAGAGUAUAAAUUCUCACACUCACUACACUUAAACACUUUAUAAGUGUUAUUUAGUGAGUUAUAGACAUCAUAGUUUUCAAUUGUACUAUCUACUCUUUGAAAUAGUGUUGUUACAUUUCAAACAAUUGUAAACCUUCAAAAGUUUAGGUGAAAAACUCUUGGUCAUUGGUGAAAAAAGGGCUCAAUAAUGAUUCAUCAAGGACAUUGUAAUCUUUAGAUUGGAUUAGAAAAGAAUAUAAUACUUAAGAUCAGCUUAGUGUUUGAGGUGUGGAUGUAAGCUUUUUAAACUACAUUAAAAAUCAGUUUGCAAUCUCUCUUCCUUAUUCUUUUACUUUACACAAUUUAAUUAGAUUAUUGGUUAAUUGUGUUUAAUUUUUUUUAAUUAAUUGCAAUAUUUGUUAAUGGUAGAGGAACACCUAAUUCAUCCAUCUUAAGUAUUAUUGUUGUCUUAAUCCUAUAACAACAAUUGAUAUUAGAGCAUGGUUCUCAUUUAUAUAAGUUUGCUCAGACUUUAAGUAGAAUUGCAACCAUUAGUUUUAAUAUACAAAAUGAAGGAUCAUCAACCUCUAGGCCACUUUUCUUUGAUGAUAAUGACUAUGCUUACUGGAAAACUAUGAUAAUUAUACAUCUUCAAUCCAUUGAUUAUGAUUUAUGUUUAUCUAUAAAGAAUGGACCUCAUAAAUAUACCAGGACCGAAAAUGGUGUUACAAUUUCUAAGGAUAUAAAUGAGUAUAUGGAUGGUGAUAAAAAUUACUUUAUAUGAAUACUAAAGCUUUGAUUACUUUGUAUAGUGCAUUAAGUAAAAGUAACUUUAAUAGAAUCACAUCUUGCAAAAAUGCUAGGGAUAUAUGGCAUGCUUUAGAAAUAACACAUGAAGAAACUAACCAGGUUAAAAAAUCCAAAAUAGAAAUGUUAAUUCAUCAAUAUGAAUUAUUCAAAAAUGCUUUUAAAUGAAUUCAUAACUGGUAUGUUUACUAGAAUGACAACUAUGACUAAUAGUUUGUAUGAUCUUAGUAGGAAUAAUAUGAAUUCUAAUAUCGUGAGCAAAACUCUUAGGUCCUUACUGAAGACUUGUGAUGUAAAGGUGAUGGCUAUUCAAAAAGCUAAUGAUCUCACCAAACUUCCAUUGGAAUAGCUCAUCGAUUCUUUGAUGACAUAUGAAAUAAUAAUGGAAAAGCAAGAGCAAAAAGAAAAAAUAAAAAAGCAUUUAAAAAUCAUACAUCAUGUUGAUGAUGAUGAUGAUGAUAAAAAAGGAAUUGAAAAAGAUAUUUCUUUGAUCACAAGACAAUUCUGAAGCUUUCUAAGGAAGAAGCAGGGAAAUAAAAGAUUAAUAAACUUCAAGAAAAAAGAAAACAAAGAGGAACCUAGCAAAGAGCAAUGAAGGUCCUUCAAAUGCAACAAUAUGAGAUAUAUCAAGGUAGAUUAUUCUAUUCUUUAAAACAAGAAGAAAAAUUCUCAUCACAAAAGGGCAAUGAAAACAAGUUGGAGUGACGAUUCAGAUUUUAGCUUAAGCAAUGAGGAAGAGCAUGUUGCAAACAUGUGUUUCAUAGGAAUUGAGAACGAUAAUGAGAUACUUUCUUCAAAUGAUGAACCGGACCUCUAUUAUAAUAAAUUGUGUGAUGCUUUUGAGAAAUUGUAUGAUGAAUUCUAAAAGUUAGGUUCUAAGUAUAGUUUAUUAAAAAAUAUUUAUGCAUUUUCACUUGUUGAGAAAGAUACAUUAGAAAAAAAAAAAAAUGCAUGCAUUAUAGUUGAUGGUUGUAAUAAGAUGAACCAACUUGAAAAGAAAAAUAAGGCUUUAAAGGAAAAUGUUGAAAAGUUAAACAUUACAUCAGGAAAAUUCACUCAAGUUUCUAUGAUUUUGGAAACCAUGUUGGGUUGUCAAAGAUGUGUUUUCAACAAAAAAGGGUUAGGCUACCAACCCAAAAGGAAGCAAAAGUAUUUGAAAAAUUACUUUGUCAAAGCCAAACAAUCACAUAACUCAGACCAUGGGUCAUUUGAUUUAUACAUGUUCUAUUCAGAAGGACAAGAGUUAUAAUAUGACUUAGGUUCCAAAAGGAACCACCACUAACUACAAAAGAUGGAAAAAGGUAUGGGUACCAAAAACCUCAUCAUGGUUUUAUGUGUGUAGGAAUCAAGUGAAUAUAGGGAGUGGUUCUUGAAUAUUGUUUACUCGAGACAUAUGACCAAAAAUGAUUUAUUGUUCUUAAACAUUACCAAGAUCAAUAGUGGAAAAGUCAUAUUUGGAGACAACUUAAAAGGAAAGAUCAUUGGAGUUGGCAAUAUUAGAGGGAAGUCUUCUCCUUUAAUAGAAAAUUUAUUUCUUAUUGAUAGUUUAAAACAUAAUUUGCUUAGUAUUAACCAAUUAUAUGAUAAAGGCUAUGUGAUUGUUUUUAACCAUGCACGUUGUUUUAUCCUUGAAAAUGAUAAAGUUAUAUUUCUUGAUAAUAAAAAAGAAAAUGUUUAUAAGAUUAAGAUUGAUGCAUGCAUGGGGAUAUAAAGUUGUCUUGUUGCUAGCAUUAAUGAUAGUUUUCUUUGGCAUAGAAUACAUGUCAUAUAAGCAUAGACAUCCUUUCUAAACUUGUCAAAAAUGAACUUGUUAAAGGUCUUCCUCAUAUUGCAUUCAAAAAGAAAAAGUUAUGAGAUGUUUUCCAAAUGAGUAAACAAGUUAAAACAUCUUUUAAGAGCAAUAACCAUAUUUCUACCGAAAGACCUUUAGAAUUGGUACAUAUAGAUCUUUUUGGUCUAACUAGAAAUAAAAUCUUAAAUGGUAAUAAAUAUGUGUUUGCGAUUAUUGAUAAUUUUAUAACGCAUGGUUUUGUUUUUGAAAUUAAAAGAUUAAACUAUUUAUGAAUUUGUAAAAUUUUAAAGAAGGUUGAAAAUGAAAAAGGUUUUUUGAUUAUAAACAUAAGGAGUGAUCAUGAUGGUGAAUUUGUUAGUGAUUUGUUUGAAAAGUUUUGUGGAAAAAAAGGAUAUCACCAUAAUUUUUCAACAUAUAGAACUCUCUAAUAAAAUAGAGUUGUGGAAAGGAAAAUAUGGUUUCUUCAAGACAUGACAAGAACUAUGUUAAAUGAAUUUGAUGUACCAAAAUGUUUUUAGGCUGAAGCUGUAAACACAUAUUUUUUAAAUCAUGUUACCUUAAAACCAAAGUUGUAAAAGACUCAUUAUGAGCUUCGGAGAGGGAGGAAACCUAACAUCUCGUAUUUUAAAGUUCUUGAUUCAAAAUGUUUUAUUCUUAACACCAAAGAUAAAUUGGAUAAAUUUGACUCAAAAUCUAAUGUUAUAUUUUUUUCUCUGUUAUUUCUCCUCAAGCAAAGCAUAUAGAGUCUAUCAUAAUAGAACAAUUUGUCUUGAAGAAUUAAUAUAUGUCGCCUUCAAGGAAACUCAAAAUGAUAAAAUUGUUGAGAUUAUUGAUAACAUUAAUGAAAGUGGUCAACAUUCGAGUCUUAAUGAUAAAACUCCCAUGGAGGCUAACAAUAAUAAAAAUAAAAAAAAUAAACAAAAACCAACCAAGCACAAGCAAUCAAUAAGAGAUUGUAAAUAACUCUUUUAUUCCACCAAAAGAGCUAAGGUACGUAAUCUCUUACCCUUUUAAGUUAAUUAUUGACAACCAUUUUGAAGAACAAAGGCUAUAACUUCAUUUACAAAUAUAAUGGUCAUUUUGUUUUUGUUUCAUAUAUAAAACCUAAAUCAUUUCUUGAAACUAAAAAUGAUGAUAAAUGAAUUUCAGUCAUGCAAGAUGAGUUAAACCAAUUCAAAAGAAAAUUAUAUAUGAGAACUAGUCCUUAGACAUAACAACUAAUUAAUUAUUGGAACUAAAUGGGUUUUUAGGAACAAAAUUGAUGAGCAUGAUACUAUUGUUAGAAACAAAGCUAGACUAGUUGUCAAAUGUUAUAAUCACGAAGAAGAUAUUGAUUAUAAAUAAACCUUUGCACUGAUGGCUUGACUAAAAUAAAUAAGAAUGCUUUUAGCUUUUUGCAUGCCAUGUUAAUUUUACUCUUUUUUAAAUGAAUGUUAAAAGUGAAUUUUUAAAUGGUCUUAUUAUGAAAGAAGUGUAUGUUGAGCAACCUCAAUGUUUUAAAAACUUUCACUUUCCCGAUCACGUUUUCAAACUCAAAUAGGCUUUAUAUGGUUUAAAACAAGCAACAUAAGUAUGGUAUGAUAGAUUAAAAUCUUUUCUUAUUGAUAAUAAUUUUAACAUUGGUAAAAUUAACAUCACCCUCUCCAUAAAGAGAAAAAGGUAAAGAUAUCUUAUUUGUGUGAAUACAUGUUAAUGUUAUUAUAUUCGGUGCUACUAAGGAAUCUCUUUGUAAGGAAUUUGCAAUGAGCAUGAUGGGAGAAUUAAUUUUUUUUUUCUUAAAUUACAAAUCAAACAAGCAAAGGAUGACAUCUUCAUCAACCAAAGCAAGUGUAUCAAAGAUCUACUAAAAGAUUUGGGAUGAAACAUGUCAAAGAAGAUGACACACCCAUGAGAACAUCAACCAAACUUGAUAUGGAUGAAAAUGAUAAGAAUAUAGACAUCACCAAAUAUCGAGGUAUAAUCAAUUUAUUCUUAUAAUUAACUGUAAGUAUACUCGAUAUUGUGUUUUGUGUAUGUCUAUGUGGACAUUUUCAAACAUGUCCUAAAGAAUUCCAUGUUAGUGCUAUAAAAUGAAUUUCUUUGAUAUUUGCAAGGUAUAAUUGAUUUAGUGUUGUGGUAUUUGAAAGGAAACAAGUUGAAUUUGAUUAGUUAUUCAGAUGCUGGAUUUAUUGAGUGUAAAGUUGAUAAAAAUAAUACUAGUGAAACUUGUUAUUUUAAGAUCAUCACUAGUAUAUUGGGCUAGUAAGAAACAAAACUCAGUAGCCUUAUUAACAAUUGAAGUCGAAUAUAUUAUAGCGAGUAGUUGUUGUGCACAAAGUUUAUGGAUGAAACAAAUCUUAAAAGACUCUGGUCCUAAUUUUGAUAAUAUAUUGUUGGUUAAUUAUGCUUAAUUGUUUAUUUAAAUUAAUCACAAUAUUUGUAAACAUUAGUUGAACACCUAAUUCAACUUUUUUAGGUGUUAUUGUUGCCUUAAUCCUAGAACAACAGUUUCCAAAAAUAUACUUUACUCCUUCUGCUUUCCACUUUAUCACUUUUCAGCCCUUUUAGUUUUUUAAAAUGCAUUUUAGUCUAAAAUUUUAUUUUUCUUUUUUCUUAGUCUUUGUUUUAGAGUUGAGGGAUAAAGUUGUUAGAUUCCAAUGAUAGAGAGAAAAAAUAUUUGUUGACAUCGAUUUAGGCCAAUAAAAAAAGUCAAUUUUGAUGUUAAUAGGUUCCAAUCGAUGAGAGGAGUUCUAAUGGGGUGUUAUUUGUCCUUCCUAUUGCUUGAGAUGAUAAAUUUUAGCUCAACAAGGUUUUUGAAUUCUAGUUGAUUUUGGGUUUAUGGACAUGUUUUUAGGUUAUUUGAUCCCAUAAACAAGCUUAAAAAGGUCUUUAGGGUAUUUCUAGAUGUUUUAGGUCACAAAUAGGUUGAAAAAAUAAAUUUUAUGGAAAAAAUACCACCACACUUAUUGUUCAGCGACUCUCUAUUCAUUGGAUUCUGGAGACAUAGAUGACAUGUCUUCCACCUCAUUUUAUUUUUUAAAUAGUGAGCAGACGAUGCAUUGUCCACCCUCUAUUAUUAGGAAAAAAAGACUCAACGAGUCGGCCAUGCCUAUGUUUAUGGGCCAAAUGUGUGGCUUGGCCUGCGCACUUGGCCUAAUUGAUAUUUUUUUAAAUGGUAUUUUUUUUGUUUAAUUCUUUUUUAGCUCUUUAAAAUUAAAUAAAAAAUAUUCAUCCUUUGUCAUUUAAGUUUCUCCUUUUGUUAUUUUCAUUAAAAAAAACCUUUUUGUUUAUUUAACUUUAAAAAAGGGCUUUUUUUUUCAACCCCACACUUUAUGUGAUUAAAUAAAGAAUAAUUUAAAAUAUAAAAAGUUAUUAAAUUCAAUUUGAUACAUAACCCAAAACACGAGUUUAACAGGUUGAACUAGAUUCACUUAGGUUGUUUUUUUUGUCUUUUUUGAAUUGAAUAUUUAUAAUUUAUAAUUUAGUCAUUCAACAUUCAGUUCCUGGGGUAUUGAGCCUCGUUAUUUGUUUUAAUUUGUUUUUGAUGGAUUAUCAUGGUCUUAUUAUUUAGGUCACAAAUUGAGUUGGUUAACUCUAAUUGACUCGAGUCGAUCUAACAUGUUGUUGUUACAAUAUUUGAGAAAAUAAUUAUUCAAUUUAUCACCACCUUAAUAUUUUAAAAAUAUAUCAUAAAAUAUGUGUUGGAUUCUAUAUCCAUGAUUAAUUCUUUUUUAGAAAACACGUCAUCAAUCCCUAAGGGUUCUUUUUUUUGCAUUAGAAAAAAAGAUUUAUGGAAGAGUGUGCUUUUAAAAUCUUUUGGUUCAAAAAUAUAUUAUUGUUAAAUAAAAAUAAUAAUUUAUUUCCCCUCAAGAUUGUUUCGGUCAUCCAAAAUGAUGGAUAUAAUCAUAAGAAUUUUUUUAUUUUUUAAAAAAAUAUUAAAUUGAUAAUAUUUUUAAUGAUUUUAAUAAAAAAUAAAAAAAUUAUUUUAAAGUGUUUUUAUAGAUUGAUAAACAUUUUAUACACAAUUAUUAUGCUGCCCUACAUUAAAAAAAUAUAUAACUCUCUUUCACUAUAGUCAAAUAACCCUUGAAGGUUUAUCCUUUUAAUAAAUAAUUGUAUUUGUUAUUAGUUGAUCUUAAAAAAAAUUAUAUGUUUUUUAUACAUAUCAUCAACAAGUUUUGUUAUUUUCUAUUUCCAUAGCCGAUUUUAUCUUGUGACAAUAUUAUAGAGAGAGGUUUAUUAGCUUUUAUUGCAAACUAAAUUCUCUUUUUUGUUCUAGUGAUACUCAUCUAAAUUUUAGGCACACAUAUGAAUUUUGAAACAUUUAUUUUUAUUUUAAAUAUAAAAAACAAUAAUGCUAUAUAAUUGAUUAAUUUUUAGAAUUAGAAAAACUAUUUAAUUUAUUAUUAAAAUAAAAACCAAGAGACUAAUUUAUAAUUUAUUGUGUUAUUGAGUUUAUUUGUCUAAAAAUAUGCAAUGUGUAUUAAUGAUAUGUUAAACCGUUUAUUAUUAUGGUAAGUUUUAUUUUUUUUAUUUUAUUAUAAGAAAAAAAUUGUUUGAUUAGUAACAUAAUUUAUAUUUUUAAAUUCAACCCCUCAUAUAAUUAUAUUUCAAACAUUAAUUUUAUAAAAAAAUAAAAUAAUUUGUUUAUCUCAGAACAAUUUUAACUAAACAAUUUAUAUUUUUAAAAUUACUAACAAAAUUACUUAUUUAAAAUAUUAAAACAAAACUGCAAUCACGUAAGCUAAACACUACCUAAUCUAACUUGCGUUUUGCAUUUUGUUAUCUUGACGAUGAGAGCAGCUAGCUUAAGGUUAUUAAAUUAUUUGACUGGAUGACGAACUGAGAGAGGUUUUUGUUGUCGUUACUUGUUAUUUUAAUGAAAUCUUUGUGUAUUCAAUUCAUGGAAGUCUAUACAAUGACAAUAAUGCAUCGUGGUAGAAGGAUUGGUGAGGGAGUUCCACUUGUGUUACGGUGAACCAUACUUCUAACCUUUUUUUAUUUAAUUGUUUUAGUUGCGAAUGAUUUCUUCAUUAUAUUUGAUUAAAAGAGUAAUUGACCAAUUUAUUUUUAUAUAUUUGAUAGUAUUCUUUGACAUGUUCAUCCUUAUAUAUUUAUUAUUUUCUCCCAUAUACUUUUUUUAUUAUUUUUUUUUAUAAAAUACCCCUCCAACUAUAAGAACAUAAAGUGGGUGAUACUUAACUAUAAAAAAUUAAAGAAACUUGAAAACUUUAGGAAAAGAACUUAUAAAACAUAAUAACUAUAAAAAGAAAAAAGAAAAAAAAUGAAAGUAUCUAGCAAAAUCAAAAGGUUAAAAAAACUGAUCUGAUUUUGCAGGACACGAGUUCUAAAAUUUUUUCAUUAGUCUCUAUGGUUUUUCUAUGAAUUAUUUUAAUUUUUUUGAAUUGUUCAAAGUUUUUUUCUUUCUAAAUUUUUUAAUUUUAAAGUUUUUUUGUUCUUAGAUUCGGUUAACUUUUAAAAAAAUUCUAAUUUUUUAUAUCCUUAUAAAUAUAUAAGGAUAUAUGAAUUUUAAGAAAAUUCUCACAUGGAGAAAUAUGUUCAAGGAUCGAUGAAUAUAAUGUCCUUAAAUCAUAUCUCUCUCUUUUUCUAAAUUGAAAUUCAUUUGCCAAUAAUUAUUCUUCUAACUUGAAUUUUGAUUUUCAAUUAUGAAAAAGUUUUUUUCUUUAUUUUUUCCUAAGAAUAUAUUUAGAAAGUUUGUUUUCGUGUUAAUAAUUUUAAGGUUUUAAUACACACACACUAAUUCUUUGUGUUUAUACAUAUUGUGGUUUUCUUGGGUUUUUUAUGGAAUAUAUAUAUCAAUAAAAAAAGGAACUAAUCCUAGAGAUCAUUUACCGGACACACAUGCAUUAUCCAUAUUUUUACAAAUCAUUAUUGAUAAAAAAAAAAGUGGUUUUUUUUUCAUUUUAAUCUCUGUUUUUUUUUUUAUUGAAUCUUUUUCUAGCGAAGUUGAUGGUUAAUUAUUUCAAAUUUGUUAACAAAAACUAAAAUUAAAGGAUAAACGACCAAAGAGAAAAUAGGUGGUUGUUUCUAUUGAUCUUUAGGUAAUAUAUUUAUGAUUUUAUAUAUAUAUAUAUAUAUAUUGAUGAUGAUGAUAAUAUCAAAAUUAUAUUAAUAAUAUGCUUGGUUGAGAAUAAGCUUUAAACAUGUAAGAAUACAUCAACAAGCAUGGAUCAGGUCCAAAAAGGAAGCAAAAUGAAUUUUUCAUUUUAGUGCUCAUAUAUAAAUCUUUAUAUCAUACUUGAUAACACUAACAAAAAUGAAUUUACACACUUUACUUUGCAUACAUUUUAAAAGAAAUGAUAAAACGAUUCUAAGAAUUCAUCAGGUUUAAACUACCAAAACUAGAAUUAUACGUGAACUAGUUGAUCGUUUGGUGAUACCAAAUAUUGUUUAGUGAGUUAUAGACAUCAUAGUUUUCAAUUGCAUUAUCUACUCUUUGCAAGAGUGUUGUCACAUUUCAAAGAAUUGUAAACCUUGAAGAGUUUAGGAAAAAAAACUCUUGGUCAUUGGUGAGAUGCAUCACCAAGGUAAAAAAUCUUAAAAUUGAUAUUUCUUCAAGUGGUGAAAAAAAGGACUUAAUAAGGAUUCAUCAAGGACAUUGUAAUCUCUAGCUUGGAUUAGUUAAUAAUAUAAUACUCAAGACCGGUUUGGUAUGAGGUGUGGAUGUGAGUUUGUUGAACCACAUUAAAAAUCGAGUUUGUAAUAUGUCUUCCUUAUCCUUUAACUUUACGCAAUUUAAGUAAAUUGUUGGUUAAUUGUGUUUAAUGUUUUUUUUUAAUUAAUUGCAAUAUUUGUUAACAUUAGUGGAACAUCUAAUUCACCCAUUUAGGUGUUAUUGUUUCCUUAAUCCUAUAUAACAACAAUUGGCAUUAGAGUUUGGUUUUCAUUUAUAUAAGUUUGCUUAAACUUUGAGUAGAAUUGUAACCAUUAGUUUUAAUGUACAAAUUGAAGGAUCAUCAAUCUCUAGGCCACCUUUUUUUAAUGGUAAUGACUAUGCCUAUUGGAAAGUUAUGAGUUAGUAUCUUUAAUCCAUUGAAUCUGAUUUAUUGUUAUUUAUAGAGAAUGGACCUUAUAAACCUAUCAGAACUGAAAAUGGUGUUACAAUUCCUAAGGCUAUGAGUGAGUAUAUGAUGAAAAUAGUGUUACAUUAUCCAUUGCAUGACAAGUGUUAAAGACUUGUUACGGUACUCACACUCAAUAUCGUAUUCAACAAAUCAAAGGGUGAGUUACAGUCCUUGAAUAAAUGUACUUAUUCUUUAAAAGAUUAUUUACACAAAGCAAAAUCUUUGGCUGUCUCUCUAUGGUGCAGGAAAACCAAUGAAUGAUGAUGAUUUCAUCAUUUGCAUUUUUCAAGGAUUAGGAUCUGAAUUUGAUCUUAUAGUAACAAAAUUGAAUACAAGAGAUAUAUUUUCAUCUCUUGAAGGAGUUAUUGGCAAACUCCAUGAAUUUGAAAUUAAACUUCAAGAAGCACGAGCAAAUACUUCUAACAUUGCUUUUUAUACAAAUCGUGGCUGAAAAAACUCAAAGCCAUGGGUGAACCCUGGCACUUAAGGCUGUAAUAUCACAAUUUCACUAGAAGAAAUUCCAUGGGCAAUACUUCAUCAUCACGAGCUAAAAAGACUCGAUUCCCUCACUUUAAUAUAGGCUCAUCUGGAACUCGUCAGAUACAAUUCUCACAUCAUGGUGGUCGUGGAUAUGGUGGCAUCACUUGUUUUCAAUGUGGGGGGGGGGGGCUAAUCACAAAGCAGACAAAUGUUUUGCUUUUAACGAAGAUCAGUAUAAAGCUUUAGCUACUAUCAAAAUUGGAGAAUUUAUAGAAGAGAUCUGGUAUUCUAACACGAGUGCAAACCAACAUAUGGCCUCUAACACAAAUAAAGUUCAAGGUAUUAACUCUUAUCUUGGCAACGAUUCUUUCAUGGUUGGUAAUGGUCAUGACUUGCCUAUCAUUAGCACUGGACACAUUCUUUUUCUUACCACUAAUAUGAAGUUAAAUGAUGUUCAUAUGGUUCCUGCAAUUAAGAAGAAACUACCAUCUGUCUCUCAAUUUAAAAGAGAAAAAUAAUUGUUAUUUUCUGUUUUAUCCAUGGGGAUUUGUUUUCAAGGACAUAAAGAUGAAUUAGGUUGUCCUUAAGGGAUCCAUAAAGGAUGGGUUGUAUCCGAUCAACUGCAACAACUUUCAACAUCUCCAGUUAGUUUUUUAGCCAAUAAAGUAUCUAACAUCUUGUGGCAUGUACGACUUGACCAUCCUCAAGCUCGGAUUCUUAUAACGUUAUGUUUACCAUCUAUAAAUAAACAAAAUGCUUUCUAUGAAGGCUAUGUCUUGGGAAAAUCAACAAAGUUACCAUUUGAAUCUCAUAAAUCUUAUACUACUUCUUUUUUGUAUACACUUCACACAGAUGUAUGGGGUCCUGCAUAUGUUUCUUCUUAUGAUGGCUAUUAGUUUUAUUUAAUCAUUGUUGAUGAAUAUUCUUGAUAUAUAUGGUUCUUUCUUAUGAAUUAGAUUUGACGUAGCAACAAUAUUAUCUACUUUCCUCAAGCAAAUGGAAAAAUAAUUUGAUGUUUAUGUUAAAAUAACUCAAAGUGAUGGGGGUGGUGAGUUUAUUAAUCAAAGCCUGCACAAUCUUUUAAAAACUAAGGGUAUCAUUCAUAGAUUCUUAUGUCCAUAAACACUAGAACAAAAUGAAUUGGUUGAACGUCGUCAAUGGCAUAUUGUGGAAUAUGGAUUAACAUUGUAAUCACAUGCUUCUGUUUCAAUACAAUUCUGAACAGUAGCUUUUCAUACCGCAAUAUUUCUAAUAAAUCAUCUACCUACUUCAGUUCUUGGUUACAACUCACCGCAUGAAGUUAUUUUUGUUUAUGCUUCUGCUUAUAAUUCCCUACGAGUUUUUGGGUGCUCCUGCUACCCAUUACUUGCACAAUUUGGUCGAUCAAAAUUGGACUUUAAAUCCACAUGGUAUGUGUUUCUUGGUUAUUCAAAUAAUCACAAAGGAUAUCUCUGUCUUGAACCUUAGACAAGUCGCUUCUACAUAUCUCAUCAUAUGAAAUUUAAUGAAUCCCAGUUUCCCUAUAGAUGCAUGCAGAAACCUGACACAUAUAUUUCUCAGUUAUUUAAAGUUAGAGCACUUCCUCGACUACUCAAGACCAUGACUGAAAAAACAAUUGUCUUAACUCAACAAAUAAUACAUCAUGUUUCAUCAAAAAUUGUCCAAAGUGUAUCAGUAUCUUAGUCUCAAUUCCUGAACCAAUUCCUCUAUUCACUACACUAGAAUUCAAUACUUUAGCACCAGAGGCUUCUCCCAUACUUGCUCCACAACGACAUCAUCAUAUGGUUACACGAGCUCAAAUAAGGAAGUUAAAACCUAAGGUAUUCUUCUCUUCAUAACAUCCAAUACCUGUUUGUUUUGUUGCUGACCUUAUCACUCAAUAACAAGAGCUAGCGUACUUCAACAUCUGUAAUGGCAUCAAGCAAUGCAAGAUGAAAUGGAUGCUCUUCACACCAACAAUACCUGAACUUUGGUACCUAAACAGCCAAACAUGAAUGUUAUCAGUAGUAAAUGGGUGUUCAAAAUCAAAACACGAUCUGAUAGCUCUAUUGAAAGGUAUAAAGCUCAACUAGUGACUCGUGGAUUUACACAACAACCAAGCCUAGAUUAUGAUGAAACCUUUAGUCCAAUCAUCAAACCAAGUACUAUUUAGUUAAUCUAUACCAUUGGGUUAUCUCAAGGCUUGUCUGUCAGACAACUAGAUGUUAGUAAUGUUUUUCUUCAUGGUGACCUACACGAACAAGUAUGUUUGGCUCAACCCCAAGUUUUGAGGAUUUAUCCCAUCCAGAUCAUGUUUAUUGUCUCCAUAAAGCUUUGUAAGGUUUAAAGCAGCCCUUUGCCCUUAGUACCUAAAAUUCAGCACUUAUAUCCAACAAAUGAGAUUCACAUAAUGUCCCUAUGAUCAAUCUUUAUUAUAUCACACUAAAGGAUCAGACAUUCUUCAUUUACUUAUUUAUGUUGAUGACAUUCUUUUAAUAGGAAGUUCCUCUUCACAGAUUAACAAGUUUAUUGCACACCUAUCUUUCAUCUUCUAUAUGAAAGAUCUUGGUGACAUUCAUUACUUCUUAGGUCUUCAAAUUGCUUGUGAUGAGUCCACUAUCACUCAUACAAGGUAUUUACUGUUUCUUCUUUAAAAGUUUGGUCUUGAUGGCACCAAACUUGUAAGCACUCCACUAGGGCCUUUAAUGUCUGUUGUUGAUGGUGUUCCCUAAGUUAAUCAUUUUCUUUAUCGCCGUUUGGUUGGCUCAUUAUAAUAUCUCACUCUAACCAAACUCGACAUCUCCUAUGUUGUUCAUCAAGUCUGUCAAUUCAUGCAAGCACCCCAUGAUAUUCACCUCAUUGUUGUUAAAAGGAUUUUUCAGUAUCUAAAGGAUACUCUCAAUGUUGGUCUUCACUACAUCCGUACCUCUAUUCAUAAACUUCGUGGUUUUUGUGAUGUCAAUUGGGCUAGUUGCAAGGAUGACAAACAUUCCACUACUGGUUUUGCUAUCUUUUUGGGUGAUAAUUUGAUAUCUUAAAGCGCUAAGAAACAAGCUAUUAUGUCUCGAUCAACAGCCGAGGCUAAAUACCGUGUCUUAGCCUCAACUAUAGGUGAGCUUAUGUGGUUUGUGCAUUUACUCAAGAAUAUUGGCUAUUGUGUCCCUCCUUCUACAUUGUAUAGUGACAAUAUUAAUGCCAUUCAUAUAGCUAAGAAUCUAAUGUUCCAUCACCGUACAAACACCUCGAAAUUGAUGUUCACUUUGUUCAUGAAUGGGUUGCGAGUGGUGUUCUCUCUUUGGCAUACAUUCCAGGAUCGGAUCAAAUUGUGGAUGUUUUUACCGAAUCCCUUUAUGCUACAAAAUUUAUUCCAAAUCAUGGCAAGCUUUGUCUCAGUUCAGCCCCACCUUGAGCUUGAGGGGGAUGAUGAGAUAUAGAGAUAUGCAGAUGCAAAGAUCUUACUGAGAUCUCUUUACUGAGAGAUCCUCUAUUAGGAUCUCUCUACCAGGAUCCUCCCUAUUUAUUCACUUCAUGAUCUCCAUAAUAUUUGUAAUUCAUUAUGUUUCUAUAAUCUCUGUAGACAAAUCAUACACACACACACACACAUAUAUAUAGUAAGCAUCAAUCUUGCAUAAAUGUCCUACAAUGCCUAUUUAAAGGUAAUAAAAAUAUAUAGAAAUAUAAGUUUAGCUCUUCCUAUAAGCAUCAUCUUUUUCUUUUUCAACAAUAGCAUGCUAUAAAUAAUUGAUAGGUUGAGAGACCUUUAUAGAAAGAGCCCUUAUAGAUUAUGAUGCUAAAAAAUAAAAAAUAUAUAUAUUAGAAGACAAGUUAUCUAAUAAGGUAUAAUAAAUAACUAAAGUAUAAAGAUUUCUCACCAAAAGUUUUUUUUGCUCAAUUUCCUAGCUGAUCUACUCGCUAGAUUUUUAGUAAGCCUUCUCUUACCAUCUUUUGUAAAAGGUUCUUCAUCAUAUAAAAGUUUCUUAGCCAUCCUUUUUAAAGAAGGGUUUAAGAUGAUAUAUAUAUUGCUUUCUUGUACAAUAGGAAAAACCUUAAUUAAUUUCCUAAUAUUAGCAUAAAGUCUCUCACACUAUAGAAUCCAAAAUUAUGUUUUGUUAACUAUGUUACAUUUUUCACUUCCUUUAGAAUUUUGAAAAUUAUUGUCUAAAUGAGAACUAUUAAUGAUAAGUACAUUAGAAAUGGAACACAUUAUACAAACUUUGAUUGUCUUGCCACGAAAUAAAGGUUAUAGGGCUCAUAAGAAAAAUAGUUGUUCCUUUAUAAUAAAUCUAUCACUAAACUAAACUGUAGAUUCUUUUAGGUUAGAAUAAUUUUUCACACUACAAUGUUCUCCUCUCCCUUAGAAUUUAUCCUUUGACGUUUAAGAAUCAAUAGCCAUCUAGAACAUGUUCUUAUAGCACUAAAAUGACCAUGGAUCGGUCACUCCUUUGUCAUGGAUAGAAAAAUAAUAGGGAGUCUAAAUUCGACAACACGACACUAGAUUCAUGAAAAUUUAUAGUUUCCCAUGCUUAAAUCCACCAUAAAAUUCAAUAAAAGUUUCAUUUUAUCAUGAAAGGGUGGUUGGUCUUCACCUCUCACUUGGCAUUCCUCUAAUACCAUAUAUAUAUAUAUGAUUUAACAUAAAAGGUCUUAGGACAAUGGUCCUACCAUUAGCCAAGGUCACCACUAUAUUUAACUAGGCCUUAUUUAAUUUAUAAGACCUCGAAAAAAUUAAAUAUCUAUAUGCCCAAAAGAGAAGACAAAAAAAAAAAAAAAAAGAAGCUAUAUGUUCUAUCUAGAAGGAAAAUUUAGUUCCUUUCUUCUCCUUCUUAAAAAUAACACUAUAUUUAGGAGUACUUACCAGUAUGUCUUCAAAUUGGCUUAUAAUAAAUUAUAUGGAUGUACAAAGCUAACCUCUUGAGUAUAGGCUUCUAUUAAAGCCAAAACAUAUAGAAAUAUCAUUUGCAUCCUAUACCUAAAUACAAAGAUGUUAUUUGAUUUAACUAAAAAAUAAUAAAGUUGUCACAUUUCCUUGCUAGGCUUAGUGGUAAUCCCAUAUAGUUGGAUUAUGUCAAAGAAUCUAUUAGCAUGGUUUUUUCUCUUUAUAUAUUGAGGUUUGCUUGAUUUUUCUAGAGUGAAACCUUUCUUUAUACAUCUAAGGCAAACAAGUUAUCUUCUUCUUAUAGAAUUUCUUCUUGAUAUUGCCCGAAGACAUUCUUAAAUCAAUUUUUUUAGGGAAUGCUGAUGAUAGAUCAAUGUACAUUAGUGAUUCAAUCUAUGUAAUGCUAGAAGUGGGUGAUAAGAGAAGGGUUUUAUUUUGCAAAGCUUGAAGAUGUCAUUUAUGUGUUUAAAGAGAGAAGUAAGGUUAAAGUUUAUCCUCUUUUUUUAGAAAUCAUUAAUUUCUUUAAAUAAGGAUUGGGGGCUUUUUAAGAAAUGAUAGGAAGUUAAUUGAUUGAAUUGAUAAAUUAACUAUAAAUCAAAAUUGUAGUUAUUGUAACUGUAAUAUCAGCUAGAAAACAUUUAAUUUAGAAAUUUCUUAAAUGUCAACAUAUUAGACAAUGAAAUAUGGUGGACAUUUUGGAAAAAUAGUUUUUGAUUUUCCAUUUCAUUCAUGGUCAAUUUUAUGAUUGAUUGAAAUAUAAAAGGCAAAUCAAUAUUCUUUCAUUUAUAUUAAAUAAAGAAAUAUGGAUGCAUUAUUUAUAUCAAAGUUAAACCGUUCAUGUAUCAUGUGAUUAAGAACAAUAAAUUUUAUUAUUAGUUUUUAAGAAAAAUAAUGAAGAAAAAUAAAAUCAAACAUCAACCAAUAAAGAAGGUUAAGCUCAAAAAUCAAUCUAUAUAUAUAUAUAACCUAACUUAUGGAUAUUAUAAAUUGAUAUAAACAUAUGUUAUUAUAGAGAUGUUUACCAGAAAAAUAUGUGCAAGUAAAUAAGUGCAAAUUAUGCUAGGAUUAAGAUUGUACAUUCUUUAUAUGUUAUAGAUUGUUGUUUAAGCUUAAGAUUUUAUGUUUAUGUGAGAUUUUAUCUCUAUAAAAAUAUAAAUAAUCAUCUAAUAGCUUAAAACAAUGGUUAGUCUUAUAUACAUAAUUUAUUAUACAAUUUACUCAUAAUUUUAUGCUACUUAUUGCUUUCUUUACGUAUGACAAUAUAUUUCUUUUCCUUACACAUUUUACUAGUCACUUAUGCGUGCUUCAAUUCAAGUUGAAUCAAAAGUUAAUUUUCUAAAAAGAUGUUCAGGCGUUUUAAGUGUGUUUUUUAGCUUAAAGAAAAAAAAUUAAUUGUUAAAUAAAAAUUUAACACAUGAGUUUAAUCAAAUAAAUCAAGAAUUAUAUAUGUGAAUAAAUGUUAAAAAGAGUCAUAAACGCUUGCUAAAAAAUAAAUUAAAAAUUCAAGAGAUAGAUACAGAUUAAAAUAGUUGAUCUCGUGCCAAAGAGGAGUUUAUCAAUUUUGUUUAUUUAAUUAUAUGUCAAUUUUUCUUAUAAGAAAAUUAAUAAUUUAAAUUUCAAUGAAAAAAGUAAUUUGCAUGUAUAAUUCCUUCUUUUCUUAAAAAUAUAUUUUUCUCUAAAAGAAUAUAGUUUUUUGUUUUUCACUAUAUGCUUUAUUUGAUAAAAACUAAGAGAAAUUAGAAAAAAUAUCAAAAACAAAUAUGAACGAUUUGAAAUAAUGAUAUAAAAACAAAGUCUCUUCAAUUAAAACCCCUUCAUCUUAUUAAUGAGGUUCUUUUGUUACCAUAAUAUUUAUUUUAUUUUAAAAAAGCUUAUCGGAAUCAUAAAGACAAGUUUUAAUAAAAAAAAACAAUUUUUUUUGAUAAUCUUGACAUGAAUACAUUAAAAAUAUAAGAAUAAUACAUUGCUCGAGCAAUUCCACAAUAAAAUUUUUAGAGUUUAUUUUUUAUCUAAUUAUACAAUAAUAAAAUAGACAUGGGUAGAAAAAUCAAUGAAUAAAGUUUUAAAAAAAAAUCAUGAAAGAGUAUAAAAAGAUCACUCACUAAUAUUAUGAAAAGAACACUAUAGUCUUAGUCAUAGUUUUGAAACCCGACCCGGUCAUUGACCCAGUCGACCUUCUAGGUCACGGGUCAGGUGGGUUGACCCGGGUUAACCCGGGUCAACCCAAAAAAACCUAUAUAAAAAAAAAAACAUAACUAAUUACAAUACAACACUUACUUAAACCAAAUUUAAAUUAUAAACCAACAACAUAAAUGAAUUGUUAAACCAAACUCUAAAUUACUCAAUUUUUUCCUCUACACUUUUGCAUGGUGAGCAUUGCCUUCAAAUUUUAUGGUCUCAUGAUUGAUGCUGAAGCAAUGGUGAUAAUGCUGAUAACUAGACCAUGCUGAAAUGAACUUUUCAAUAUUGCCCAUCUAAGAAGGUUAGUUUGAUACUGGCAUAAUAAUUACAAGAGAUUAACUAGGGAAAGUUACUCUCUUGAUUGCCUUCUGAACAUUUUUAUAUUACAUCUUACAUCAAGCAGUUACCUUCAUAUAAAGCUAAUUUCCAGUACCACCUGCUUAAAGAAACAGCAGACUAGGAGAUUGAGUUGGAAAGGAAUAAAAAAAAGAAAUCAUGUAUAGGUUUUACUGCAAAGGAUUAUAUAUUUGUUACGAAUCCAGAGCGGAUGAGAAAUGCUAACAACUUAGGCGUUUGUCAGCAAUUCAGAUCCUGAACCUCGGAUCUAAUGGUAUAUCAGGUUCUUUCCCUUAUGAUGAACUCUCCGAACUCAAGAACUUAACCAUCCUUUUUCUUCAAUCCAACAACUUCUCUGGCCCAUUGCCUUCAGAUUUCUCAGUCUGGAAUAAUCUCACAAUUCUUAAUAUUUCCAAUAAUGGCUUCAAUGGGAGCUUUCCUCCUUCAAUAUCAAAUUUGACUCACCUCACAUCUUUGAACCUUGCUAACAACUUCCUUUCAGGCAAUAUUCCUGAUAUAAAUGUCUCUAGUUUGCAACAGCUAGAAUUAGCCAACAAUAAUUUUACUGGAAGUAUGCCCAAGUCUCUUCAAAGAUUUCCAAGUUCUGCAUUUUCUGGUAACAAUCUUUCAUCAGAAAAUGCCCUUCCCCCUGCUCUUGUUUCUAAUACGUUGCAGAUAUAUACUUUCAAGUGAAGAACGAUGAAGACAUUUUGCAAACACUUACUACAGAAAAUGAGAUACAUGAGCAGCAGAUUAAGGUAGAAACAGAACAAACAACACAAACUCGUCAAAUGAACAAAUCAGACGCCUUUAUUUCUCUAAAAUUCCUCUUCGUUAAUCACUAAUUACAAAAACAACACAAACAAACCUCGAAUAAUUAAGUUCAUAAAACAUGCUAGAAACAGAGACUGUGUUGUUUGUUUGCAUAGAAACAGAGACUGUUGCUCAAAAUCAUAAAGAAAAGAAACAUAGAAAUCAUGCCAGGAUGGUUGAAUGAUUAUGUAACAGUUGUAUGAAUCGACAGAGAGUUCAUCAAGAAGUGAUGAAGAACACAGACGAAUUGAAUUGAUGAAGAAAAUACAGACACUGUAGCAGCAAUCGGGUUGGAGAAACAUACCUGAGGGCUGAGGUUUCUUUCUUCUGCGAAAUCGAUUGAAGAACCCAGAAGUAUGAACUUGAAUCGCAGCGAGUGAAGAAACACAGAAGUAUGAACUUGAAACUGAAAUUGAUGCCAGAACCUAGAAAUGAGAAAACGCGAAGAAUAAACAAAACAGAGAGUGAAAGAAGGAGAUUCAAACCUUUUUCGCAGAGAUCAAUGGUUAAUUCGUUCUUCUUCUGCUUCGUUCAAUUCGGGCGACACAGAUUAGGUCUUCGUUCUUCGUUCGAUUGCUUCGUUCUUCUUCUGCUUCGCUUUUCGGUGCGAUUGUAUAUUUUAGAGUCAUUAAACGGCGUCGUUUAAUGACAGGGGGAGUAAAAAAAAAUAGUGGCCGGGUCUCACCCGGGUUUGGCUGGGUGGACCGGGUCCCGGGUCGACCGGGUUUGACCGGGCCAAUUCCCAAGCGGAUUUUGGCCUCCACCCGGACCGGUUCCAUGCCCGGGUCGGCCGGGUCGACCCGUCGGGCCGAUCCGGGUUUAAAAACUAUGGUCUUAGUUGAAAACCAAGUAAAAAUAGAAUAAUAUUUAAUAAAAUGAUAUCCUUGAUAUAUUUUGAAGUAAUUUAUUUAAAUACAACUUAAUUAAAAUAGAAUAAAAAAGCCAUAAAUACCUUAACAAAAAAAAAAGGUUGUGCAAUUAAGCUUGGGUGGGCUAGCACACUUGGCCCAUCACAAAGGAGGCCAAGUCCACAUGCUUUGCAAUCUUCUUUUUUAAAAAAAUAAAUAAAUUAUGAGAAUGAUGUGGUGUUUAUAGUGGUAGACGACACAAACUUUAAAUAAUUUAAUGUGAUUAAAAAGUCAAGUCCCUACUUAUUAUAUAUAUAUAUAAAAAAAAAAAAAAAACCAACCCAUUUUAUACUUGAAAAUACUAAAGAAACACCCUAUAAACCUCCACAAACCAAUAUAUAAUCUCUAAUCAACCAUUUAUUUGUCAAAAAAACUAAAACAUCAUCCAAUUCAAAGAUGUUAUCUAUUUUUUCUAGCAAGAUAAAGUAAAAAACACCUCAAUAAAGCUCUUCUCGUCAAAUAGAACUCAUUGAUAUAAAUAUCAAUUUUUUUAUUAUCAAGAUGUUAUUGACUGAUAACUUCCUUUCAUGUCUCUCAUUUUCCUUUGAUUUCUCUUUUAUUGCAAACACCAUGACUGAAACAUGAAAAAAAUAGUUUUGAAUCAAAAUAUAGAAUGUUAAAACUAAAGGAAUCAAAUGAGGAGUUAAUAGAGAAUAUGUGAAUAAAAGUGAAAUUAUUCACCUAAAUUUCAAAUGAGCCACAAUUUUUUUUUAGCUUGGUUAUUUCCCUUUUAAUUGUAUAUUUAAAAUUUCAAACUUUAUUGGCCUCUAAUCAAGUUUUAAAAUCCGACUAAAACCUUGAAUUCCCGAGAAUAUACAAAUAGAAAAGACCAUAAACCAAAAGAAAACGACCACAAGCCGUACUGAAUUUUUUUCAUUCAGCCAGGAACGCUUCUUCCCUUUACUACAACCAGCUUCAUCCUUUUUUCUCUUUUUUUUCUUUUUAUAAGAGCUUCAUCUCCUCCCUUUUUAAACAAGGAAAAUCACCUUGCAACUUGCAAGUCAGCAAAUAACAAAUGGAAAUCUAUCCUUGAAGUUUCUUCCAUACCACCAUAUACUUUACCAUCAAAGAAUAAUAUUAUCUUACAACCAUGAAACAGGCAGUCAAUUCACCAAUACAUCUUACGUGUCCUCCAAGGAAUUUGUUUUUUUCACAAUACGUAGGGAAUUAAGGAAGAAAAUGCUACAAUGCUACAACAAAAAGAAAGCUUCACAGCCGUCCAAUAAAUAACCAAAUGAGAGGGGAAAGAACACAAAAGAUUAGCUUUGAACAGUCAUUCAACAAAAAGCUCCAAGGUGCUUCAUCUUGACCAAAGAGAUUGGAAAUGACAAAGCACAUAAUGAUCUUGAAUAGAGUGAUAUGUUAAAGUUUUAAAGCAGCAGAAGAAUGGUGAUGAGCAUAGCCAAAUUGGACAGGAAGAUGCACGCACCAAUCUUGGGCAGCCCAUUUGGAGGUCCCGGUGGUACUGCUGCAGCUCCACCGCCUGGACCGGGGCAAUUGCUGUAUUAGAGGGCAAGGGUCCCUCCUCAACAUCAGAUGCAGUUAACACUGGGUUUGGAGGCUCAGCUGGGGGCAUGGCAGGUUGGAUUAGCUGCAUGAGAUCGCCAGGCUGAGCGGGCUCAUGUAAGGACGUAAACUACUGUUAUUGCCCAAGCAUCGGUUCCCUGCAAUAAAUGGAGCAAUGUGUUACUAAAUGGCAAACAGAUAUCACUACAUGUCUGGUGGAUAAAUUUAUUAUGGAAUUUCCCUAAAAUCUGAAAUGAGACUAGCACAAAUAUAUGGCUGUUAAUAUAUUCUCAAGUCAUAUUGUAUGAUCCUAACCUGAUUUCUACAUGUACUAUGCGAAUCUAUUUUUCUCAGCCUAGUACAGUAUGAAUUAAACUGACAUUUUCAUGAGAACAAGAUCAUCUAAGGAAUAAUUUGUCCAGAACAUAAACUUCGUCCAGGAUUCACCUGUAUUGUUGCAUAUAAACUAGAAACAUCAGUGACUUACUCUUGUAUCUGGCAGAAGUCAGAGGGAAUUCUGUGAUAACACCGCUGAUGUUGGCUCCCAUGACGUAGGAGUUAAUUUCAACUGUUGAAUCUGAGAAGAAGUCCCAUGCCUGAGAUACAAACUCAUUGCUGAAAGUUUCCACAUAAACUGAGAGCCCAUGCGAUUGCAGCUUUGGCACAACAUUUGUGACACCAAUGAGGAAUGAAGAACUUUCAGGAAAGACAGAGGCCUUGCUGAUGACCACGGAAUUAGCAAACUCUUUGAUGUCCUUCAGUGCAGCAUCUUGAGCAUCUUGAAUAUCCUCUUCAAUCCGGUACACAAGCUCAUAAUUGUUUUUGUCCCUAAAUUUCAUUAGAACUGAGCUGUUGGUGGACUCAAUCAUAACUUUCUUGGAAGUUGGAUCAUCAUAACCAGCUUUGCUCAAGACAUCAAGUACUUUGUCAGUAACGGGCAAUCCCUCUUUCUCUAUAAGAUAGGCUGCAUUCUGAAACGAACAGAACAGACAAUAAACAUCAGUCAGGUGGGAACAACCUUCAUUUUUUCUACUGAGCUGCAUGAAAUGUGGACAAAAAAAAAUCACAUAUUCUUCUUUUUUUUGGCUGCUGUUGAAGACCUUAUUCUAUUAUUCUAUGAGAGAAAUCCUCAGGCGUGCAAUUAUAGCUCAAAUAUCUGUACUAAGCAUGUGAGCUACUCAUGAGACUAGAAGCGUGGCAGGAAGUUACGCCAAAGGAUGCGGUUAAUACAACCACAGGAACCAAUGCCAUCUUUAUUGCUACAAAAGAAAUGAAAAUGCAGAUUGCUAGCAGAUGAGAUAUCUGAAAUGAGCAACCAUUGAAUAUGAUGGUCUAUUAAGUUUCAUCAACCAUGGAAACUAAUACCGUGUGUGAAAUGGUUUCCAAGUUGGGGAAGAAACAUAAAAGAGAUAAUAUGUUCCACUGACAGAACUAACCAAUUAAGCACUGCUUUUGUUUACUAAUAAGGUGUAGUGUGAUGAUAAAUUUGAUUUUGAUAACAUGUUUUGCAUCCAACAGGAAAAGAUAUAAAAUUUCCACAAACAAUCAAAGGAAUAUUAAGUGCAAGCAUAUGCAAGUUCAGAGUAAAAACACAGCAAAUGCUAUAGCAUGAAUCAGAUGAUUCAAACGAAGGAUCAUGUACGAGUAAUGUGAGCUUAGCAAAAACUCACCUCAAUGCUAAUCAAGACACCAGAAAGCGAGCUAGUGUUCUUUGCCAAUGCUAAGAAAUCAGACAAUGUUAGAAACUUCCCUGAAUUUCUGAAUUUGGGAUUCCGUAUCAAUUCAAAUUUUGAAUAUGGAUUGGAAAUCACCGCUACAAUGAAAAAAGAAACGGAUCAAUACAAAAUCAUUAUCUUCAAUGAAAACAUUUUGACAAUCAUACAUCCACAAAGAAGCAUAAUAUGGAAUUCAAACAACAACAACUAGAUUACAAAGCAGAAUUUAGAGUUCGGCAGGAGUAAAAAAAAAAAGAGCAGAGGAAUAUUUCUGUUCCUUUUCUCACAAAAUUCUACCUUUUAAAAUGUAAAGAGAGCAAAAUCAAAAGAAUGGUGCCAGGCAAAGGACAUUUGCGUUUAGUAUUGUUCCAAGAAUUGUAAUCUCUGUAAUUCUUUUGAUGUAUUUAUUCUCAAAUCUCAAGUGGUGGGAAUAGCUGGUUAUGAGAUCGUGUCUUGUGACUCCCACGACCAAGACAUCAUUUCCUUUGAGCCCUAGAUGGAUGUGUUUUUUGGCUGGCCACUCUUUAUUUGUCUUCCUCAAUGUCCUACAUUAUUUUAACUUUGUGAUCCAGUAAUGAGCAUUCUAUUUUAGCAGAAUGUGAGGAUUGAGUAAUGCCCCCCACGUAAUUGUUUGUUUAUAGGCCAAACUUUUUCCCGCACUAAAAGGAAAAAAUUAUAAAAAAAUCAUGUUUUAUUGGGAAGGGGGUGCAACAGAAGAUUGAAAAGCAAAGAAGUAAAAGGCAACCAGUUUGAACUUACGAGUUAAGUUCUGAAUCUCACUCCAUGCUAAGCUAAAGGUGAAUAUCCCAUUGCCUGCCUUAAUCUGUGGAAUAAUCUGUGAACGAUUGCUGUAACUUGAUUGGGCAACUGUUGUACUAUCAUAAAGAUUUAUAGAGCCUAAGCAAAAUGGUAUCCCGUCUUUUGAUAUUUGAACAGGGCAAUCAAUAACAUCAGCACCAUCUAAAAUAGCAUUCUGGUAAGCCAAAUCAGUGCAACCAGGGUAGUCUCCACUUGCACCAUUUUUUGAAAUGACCGAAAGGUUCACUGAACCAUGAGAAAAGGAGGACAGAAGAGGUAAGUACUAAUGUUCAAAAAUGCAAUAUCCUUUGAAGUUAAAUCUCAUAUAAAAAGAAUCAGAAAAUAAUUUGCACCUUGAGGUGCAUUCUUGCCUAGACCAGAAAAACAAUCUGCAAUACAGAAGGAGAAAUCAGAAUCUCAAAAUAUUUAUUCUCCGGAUUAGGAGAAAUAUCCAGACAGAACUUAAGCAUAUAAUCUUUAACUCCAACCAAAAGAUUACAGCUAGGAUAAGAAGAGAAAUUGUCUCAAUGGUUCUAUGAGUCAAUGAAAACAGCAGUCACAGUACUAAACCUUUUAAGUUCGACCAAAAUUUGAAUCAUACAGUGAUAAGGAAUCAAGUACCAAGCAUGUUCUGACAUGAGAAGCUAGAAGUAGCAACAGUUGAAAGUUCAAUGAUGGUAGGCAAGCUAACAACUGCUCCCAUAAAGAAAUUAGUGCCAAAUGUCCACUUAUUUAAGUUGAAAAAUACUAGAUUGAACCAAUAGUUCACGGUUUGUUCAGAU